rnacentral:rRNA from 1 species
AUUAUUUUAAAUGUAAAUUUAUAAUACUUAAGUAGUAAUAGUUAUGAUCUUUAAAUUUAAAGAUUUUGGCGGUAUUUUAGUCUAUUCAGAGGAACCUGUUCUGUAAUUGAUAGUCCACGAUUAACUUUAUUUAAUUUUAAAAAUUUGUAUAUCAUUGUUUAUAGAAAAUUUUAUAAGAAUUUAAAUUUUUAAUAUUUUUUAUUAAAAUUAAUUUCAAAUCAAGGUGCAGUUUAUAAUUAAAUAGAAAUGGGUUACAAUAAAUUUAUUUAAAUGGAUAUAAAUAUUAAUAUAUUUAUUGAAAGUGGAUUUGAUAGUAAUUAAAUUAAGUUAAAUUUUUUGAUUUAAGCUCUAAAAUAUGU